rnacentral:rRNA from 1 species
AGUGAACGCUGGCGGUAGGCCUAACACAUGCAAGUCGAACGGCAGCACAGUAAGAGCUUGCUCUUACGGGUGGCGAGUGGCGGACGGGUGAGGAAUACAUCGGAAUCUACUUUUUCGUGGGGGAUCACGUAGGGAAACUUACGCUAAUACCGCAUACGACCUACGGGUGAAAGCAGGGGAUCUUCGGACCUUGCGCGAUUGGAUGAGCCGAUGUCGGGUUAGCUAGUUGGCGGGGUAAAGGCCCACCAAGGCGACGAUCCGUAGCUGGUCUGAGAGGAUGAUCAGCCACCCUGGAACGUGGACACGGUCCAGACUCCUACGGGAGGCAGCAGUGGGGAAUAUUGGACAAUGGGCGCAAGCCUGACCCAGCCAUACCGCGUGGGUGAAGAAGGCCUUCGGGUUGUAAAGCCCUCUUGUUGGGAAAGAAAAGCAGCAGGUUAAUACCCCGCUGUUCUGACGGUACCCAAAGAAUAAGCACCGGCUAACUUCGUG